rnacentral:lncRNA from 1 species
CUGGCGAGGUCAUUGACACUUAUGGUGUAGGAAGAGUGUUGGUUUCUCAUCGGCCCGACUUCAAGAAAGGUGACUUGGUAGUUGGGCUACUUACCUGGGGAGAGUACACUGUUGUAAAGGAAGGUUCCCUGUUGAAUAAGCUGGAUCCUAGUCUGGCAUUUCCUUUGUCUUACCAUGUCGGAGUUUUUGGAUUCAGUGGACUUGCUGCCUAUGGUGGAUUCUUCGAAGUGUGUAAGCCGAAGCCAGGGGAGAAAGUUUUCGUGUCUGCUGCUUCUGGUUCAAUAGGACGUUUAGUAGGACAGUAUGCUAAAUUACUUGGAUGUUAUGUUGUUGGCUCUGCUGGUAGCCAAGAAAAGGUAAAUUUUCUUAAGGAGAAACUUGGAUUCAACCAUGCAUUCAAUUAAACAAGAAACUGACCUCAAAUCGGCUCUCAAAAGGUGUUUCACUCAAGGGAUCGAUGUCUACUUUGACAAUGUGGGAGGCAAGAUGUUAGAAGCAGCAGUGGCAAACAUGAAUUCACUCGGCAGAGUAGCCCUCUGUGGGGUUAUUUCUGAGCACGCGAAUGCUAGCACACAAGCUGGCCAGAUGUGAAGGAUAUAGUCUACAAGAGGAUUAGAAUCCAAGGAUUCCUAGCAGCUGAUUUCAUGCCAGUGUAUGCAGAUUUCCUGUCGAAAACAGUUGAGUACCUCCAAGAUGGAAAACUUAAGACCAUCGAAGAUAUCUCACAAGGCGUUGAAAGCAUCCCCUCUGCUUUUAUUGGACUGUUCAAUGGUGAUAAUAUAGGCAAAAAGAUUGUCAAAGUUGCAGAUGAGUGAAAAAAAGAGCAAGAAGAUUCAAGACUGUUGACCUAUUUGUUCAUGAAUUCACAAAAAAUAUCUUAUCUGUACUUCUUUCAAGUUGUAAUCCAUUUAAAUGUUCAUCUUCUGCAUCAAGUUAAAGUAAUGUUUAUGCAUUAUGCCUAUCAGAUUCUUGUGUAGUUUUCCUUUUCAUGUAUCCUAGAUUGAAACAAACUCUGUGACCCUAAGCUGUCUCAAUUCCAAAUUUAGUUGACUACAUGAAUCUUUUAUAUCAACUCAACACAGUGGAAAAAUACAUCUUUAGCAACUACUUCAAGACCACCACAAGAUAAAGCAAUAUCAAGGUCCCCAUCAACAUAGAGACCAGCUAUCAUGCCAAAUGAAUCCCGGCACUGAAAUAGCAGCAAAGUAAAGUGACAAUGGGUGUACAUAAGUUAGUUUCAAUAGAAUAACACGAUAGAAAACACUAAUGUACAAAUAUCACAGUAGAAACAAAGUUUGAGAGCAAUGGAUCACGAAGGGGAUAAACGUAUUUCCAAGUGUUACAGUAACAGCAUUAAUAUUGAACCUGCAGUCUUCCUUCCAUUCAAACAGACUGUCAACAGCCUCUGCCAAUGCAGAAUGAACAACUAGAUUCUUGUGUUUUCAAGAAAUUAUGGUCCUACAAUUGCAGCCACAGGAAGACACACAUACUAGUGAAUGCUUCAGCGUAAAGCUAUUCAUCAUUGAGGGGAAACGGUUAAAAGACACCAGAAAGAUGCAUAACCGCAGUUCCCCUGGAGAGCAAAGAACGUGCAAAAACUUGCACUCAUGACUUAUCAACUAGCAGCACUUUUCUUUCUGAAGAACUAGUUGCAAUAUCAAGGAAAAAGAAUUCCAUGAUGUGGAACCAUUAUCAUCAUAAGUAUCAUAUAACAGAUCAAUCUACAUAUAACCAUUUAUUUAAGGGAAGGAGAAGCUUGUUCAACAUUUUGUUAUGAUGAAUUUGACUUUAAGCUACCAACAAUGUGAGAUGAAAUUUAGAAGUAGGCGAGUCUCGCUCUAUACAUGCUGUUGGAGUUGUAAGGUUAACUUCAACUCUUUGAAGUAAAAAUAAAGAAAGAAAGAAGAGAACAAAUAAUUUACUGCACAAAGGUUUAUUUUUCAUUAAUCUAUAGUGGUGCUUAUAUACUAAAAAAAAUGCAAUAACUAAAGCCUAUAAUUAAUCCACUACUUUGUACCUGAUUCCAUGAUCAGCAAUAUUCAAAAAAACUACACCACUAACAUCUAAAAAUCAGCCACUAAACUAAGUUGUUGAGAACAUGGCUAAAAAAAGUUGGAUGAUGUCCAACAAUUGCUCCUACUUUUACUGCAAUAACUAAGGCAAUAAUCAACACUCCUCCAUGCUUCAAUUUCUGCAAAUUCCAAGCCUUUCUCCGAGAAAUUCAAAUCUGCUCUUUGGCAAGGCUUUGGUAAACAUAUCUGCUAGUUGAAGAUCCGUCUUGCAGUACUUUAACCCAAUCGAUCCUUCUUUUUGCAUGUUUCUAAGAAAGAAUAAUUUGAUAUUGAAAUUCUUAGUUUUUGCAUGAAAAAUAGGAUUAUUUGAGAUAGCAAUAGCUGCUUGAUUAUCCACAAACACCUUUGUGCACUUCUCUUGCAUUAAAUUAGAUCAAGUAGCACUUUUCUAAACCAUAAGGCUUGAUUUGCAGCAGCUGACCAAUUUCUUGCUUUUUAGACCACUAAGAAAAUACACCUGAACCAAGACUAAAACAAUAACCAGAAGUGCUCUUCAUGUCUUUAGAAGUUGCUCGGACUCUUCAAUUAUGUCUAUGGGUGCGUGUCGGAUCCUCCAAAAAUAGUAUAUUUUUGAAGGAUUCGACACGGGUGCAGCAACAUUUUUGGAGAGUCCGAGCAACUUAGAUCAGAAUACCCCUGCAACACGUGCUUCUGAUUUGCAUUGAACUUGAUUCCAAAAUUCAGUGUUCCCUUAACAUAUCUUAUCACCCUUUUUUCUGCUCUAAAAUGAGUGUUAGUUGCACAAUUAGUGAAUCUAGAUAAAAGACUUACAGCAUAUAAAAUGUUGGGACUAGUUGCUGUAAGAUACAUGAGACAUCCAACCAUACUUCUGUAAAGAGUCUCAUCCACUUUUUCAGCUUCAUCAUUUUUGCUCAACUUCUCCUUUUGACACAUCGGAGUAGUUGUGUCUUUGCAAUUUUCCAUUCUGAACUUCUUCAAACUGUCUCUUGCAUACUUCUUUUGACAAAUGAAAACUUCAUUUUGCUCUUAAGCCUUAGAAACAGUGCUAUAACCCACAAAUAUUCCAGCUUCCGCCUUUUUAUCAAGCUUAUCUCUUUUACUCUGUGGCACAUAUGUAAAGCACACACAUCCAAACACUGAGAGAUUUUUUUAAAAAGGUGUAAAACCAUACCAGAUUUCAAAUGGUGUCUUUCAUUCUAAUGCUUUUGUUGGAAGCCUGUUGAGUAGAAAGACUAAGACUGGUGUAUGAGUAGUUUCUGCCCAAUACUCUUUUGGUAAACAUUUCUCAUGCAACAAGCAUCGAGCUAUCUCCAUUAUGGUACGAUUCUUCCUCUCACUAACUCUAUUUUUCUGUGGAGUAUAUGCAGCAGUGAGUUGGUGUUCAAUUCCAGCUUCUUCACAAAACGCAUUGAAUUGAUCAAAUGUAUACUCCUUGUCGUUGUCGGACCUUAUAAUUUUACAGCCACUUUGAGUUACAAUCCACUGCUUGAAUUUCCAAAAAAUAGUGGCAACCUCUGACUUGAACCUAAGAAAAUAAAUCCAACACAUUCUCGUAUAGUCAUCGAUGAAAACAAUGCAAUACUUACUACCUUUGAGUGACGGAGUUCGUUGAGGACCAGCCAAAUCUGUGUGGAUUAAUUUUAGCUUUUCAAUGGCUCUCUAGGUUGCUUUCUUGAAAGGCAGCCUUGCAUGUUUGCCAAAUUGACAAGUUUUGCAAUCUGCUAUUUCGACUUCAAGAUUAGGUAGCCCUCGAACCAGAUCUUUCUUUUGUGAGUUAAUUACAGCAGCAUGAUUGAAAUGUUCGAAUCUUUUGUGCCAAACUUGUGCAUUAAUCUUAGUUGCAGAGUAAGCUUUUUUGCUCAUGAUCUAAAAGAUCCUAUGUAAAGCUCCUUCCCUUCAUCAUUACCUUGAAUAAGUUCCUGCCAUCUUCAUCAUUGAUUUGACACUAAUUUGAUUCAAAGAGAAGUUUGAAACCAUUCUCAAGCAUCUGCCCAACACUUACCAGACUAUGGCUAAUAUUAGGUACAAAAAACACAUCUUUGAUUGGUUUUGUACCUAAGGAGUAUUUCAUUUCCACAGUACCUUUACCUUCAGCAAAAAUAUAGUCUCCAUUACCAACUUGUACUUUGGAAAUUACCGAAGUAUCCAAUUUCUUGAAGAGAUCAUGAUCAAAUGUCAUGUGGUUUAUGCAACCACUGUCAAUAAGCCACUUAUCACUCGAGCAGCUAGUUGCCGAAUAUGUCAUUACAAAGAGCUGCUCUUCAUCUUUCUAAUUAGCUACCUAUGCAGCAUUAGUCUGCUGAGUGUUGUUCUUGCAAACCUUCUGAUGAUGUCCCAUCUGCUGACAUUUCUCACACUGUUGGUCUGACCUUCUCCAGCAUUUGAACGGUGGAUGACCCUUCUUUCCACAAUGCUUUCAAGGAGGAAAAUCAUGUUUCACUUCCCUAUUGAUCCCAGGAGAAUGAGAACUUGAGUUUUCCUUCUUGUUCAACUUCUUCUUUCCUCGAUUUGAUUAAACUUUUGCAGGUAGUAAACCCUCAAUCGAUCUUUCGGACCUCAUAAGUCUUCUCCGUUCUUGUACCUACAAAGCAUUCAAUAGUUCUCCCAAACUAAUCUGUGACAGAUCCUUAGUAUUUUCCAGUGCAGAAAUAGUUGUUUCAAACCUUUCAAGGACUAUUACUGGAACUUCUUGAACCAAUCUAGAAUCAGAAAAUACAGAGCCAAGUAAUCUUACAUUGUUGGCAAUGUUGAGUAAUCUAUCAGAAUACUCUUUGAUUAUCUCCAAAUCCUUCCUCUUUAACAGCUUCCCACAAAUUGUUUUUGUAACGCCUCGAUUUUCUGAACCGAAACGCUACACGGUGCUCAUGACCCGAAGGACCACAAGCUAACCCAUGACUGAUAUCUGUACCUGUAAAUUGCAUAAUAUCUCAUAAAAUAUACGGAAACAUGAACUGUAAGGCCAUAAAGUUCAUUACUGAUACAUAUCUGAAAAAUAUGGUAUAACAAUACCAAAAAGAAACAUAAAUACUGAAGUCUGAACAUCUAAUCUGACAUCUAGUCCGAAAUCCUCUAAUUGAACUGAAUAAGGAGUUGAAGGAACAUGUCUCCAACUAACUCUAUGAACUGAAAAACUAAUCUGAAAUACUGCAAUAAAGUAAUAAUAAUAUUGUCCUCGAAUGAAGAGGAGCACUAACGGCUGAAAUCUGCAAUGCUACUGCUGCUCUGAAACUCGUGCCUCUGUACCUAUGGCAUCAAAUAAAACACCAUAGCGCGAAUGCAUCAGUACGACUGAAUGUACUGAGUAUACGAGCGAGGUAGGCUAAAUGCAAAGGGUUUUAUAUGCAUAAACAAUGCUGACUAAUAUGAACGUGAGAAUAUAUACAUACAUACAUACAUACGUAACUGCAACUAAACUCGUGGUGAUACUGACGACUGAGUCUGAAUACUGGAAAUAUGAGUUUACUGAUGCUGAGAUACUGAAUGACUAAGUUUACUGAUAUUGAGAUACUGAAUGACUGAGUUUACUGAUAUUGAGAUAUUGAAUGACUGAGUUUACUGAUAUUGAUAUGUAAUUCACUAAUAAGUGAGGAACUGAUACUGUAUUACUGAAUACUGGGAGACUGAUACUAUAUUACUAAUAAGGAAUGAUUGUUUCUGAUAAUUCUGAUUAUGAAGAACUAAUUUGAUUGAUCGUAUAUAACAGUCCUGGAACUGAGCUCAUGAUAACAUGACUAUUGAGUAUGAAUACUGAUGACAUGUAUUUACUGAUAACAUAUCAUGAAUGAUAACUGAAUUCUGAUAACUGAUAGUAUGAAUGACUGUAUCUGACAGUCCUAGAUCUAAUGGAACUAGCUGAGUUCCGUAUUGUAUCUGAGUUGACUGUAUCUGACAGUCCUGAUAUCCUGAAGAACUAUCUGAGUUCUUUUACUGAGACUAAUAUUGAAACUGUGGGAAGUAGUUAUCUAAUCGACAUGCCCCAAAUAUGCUAAAAUAUAUAAGCUGGGGUCCAAUCUCUACCCUGAUUGGAAGGGUGUCAAUACCGCGCCACUGGUAAGGACAAGCUGUGAGUGACCCUCAUCUAGCAGGUACUCUAAUGAGAACGGUGGAAACCCUCAUCUGCCAGGUUAAGCCACCUCAUCUACCCUCAACUGAUGGGUAUUGAUGUCUCAACCUAUGCUGGCUACAUAGUUCUAGAACGCAAGGACUGCUUCUAAGAAUCACACUCUCUACUGGUAGGUGAGUUCCUAUCCUUGGGUUCGCUCGGUGCUGAAUCCUACUCCCAACUGAAUGACACUGAACUAAUUAUACUAAAUUGAUUUCCUAGUUCGUACUAGAAUUAACUGAACUGUUACUGAUCUGUUUAACUGAACUGGACAUGGACUGAGUUUAUUAAGUUACGAUGCCUAGCGGAACACUACUGAAUUCUGUUAACUGACUAAAUGCUAUUGAGUUCUGUUAGCUGACUGAAGUCUACUGAACAUGGCUUGACUGAGAGUAUCGUGAAAACAUGACAUGGCUCUAGGCACACAGCUAUAUUUUUCGGGUACGAAUACCUCCAAGACUCGAUGGAAGGAAACUGACAUGACUUGACAUACAAGAGUACUUGACCAACAUUAACAGUCCAUAAUAUAGCAUCUAUGGGAGAUUCAUAAAUCAUGUGGUUUUCAUAACCUUUUCAUAUAGCUAACAUCAUGGUCAAUUCUAAUAUCAUGACAAGCCAACAACAUAUUCAUAGCACAUUAAUAGCAUAGAAAUCAUCUUGAUCAAGUAGACAUGACAUAACUGAAGAGACAUGGCAAAAUCUUNNNNNNNNNNNNNNNNNNNNNNNNNNNNNUCAUUAUUUAUUCGUUGAGGCACAUUAUCAAACACAUGGUAGGCAUAGCUUUAGCAUGGAAGUCAACUUAAGCACAUGGAUAUGGCAUGGAAUCAUCAUUUAUAUCACAAAUAGGUCAAAGUUCUCAAUUCUUCUUCACUUAGGCAUUUACAAACACCUUGCAUGCACUAUUUAGGGCAUAGGCCUAAUGAUCAAUUUUAUACACCAUAACACCAUAAUUCAACUCAAUUUCACCAAUUGAAUCAACAAAAUAUCAUGGUAUCUCGAACAACAUGUAAAGAUUCAAACUUUAUUCACACAACAUGGAAUUCACGUGAAAUCAUAAAAUAUGGAGUAAGGACUUGUUAAUUGAGCACUCUUAAAUCAUGAAAACAUGAUUAUGCCUAUUCUAGGCAUUUCGUCGAACACCUUGCAUGAACACUUUAUGGCAUAGGUGUUCUUAAUAAUUUAGUCAUCUUAAACCACCCAAUNNNNNNNNNNNNNNNNNNNNNNNNNNNNNNNNNNNNNNNNNNNNNNNNNNNNNNNNNNNNNNNNNNNNNNNNNNNNNNNNNNNNNNNNNNNNNNNNNNNNNNNNNNNNAAGAAAUUCUUAGACAUGUUCUUGAUUCCUUGACUAGGGUUCUUGUUCCUUUGAGAGAAAAUAAAUUGGCUCUUGAGUUUGAAAAACUUGAAUAUCAUAUAUUCUUGAAGACGGAUUUGAUUCUUGUUAUAGGUUAUGAUCUUGAGAGAAACCCUUCUUUUGAUGUUGAAGAUAAAUGAGGAGUUAUGUUCUUUAAUUGAUUGGAUUUGAGUCUUCAAAUUGAAACCCUAGCUUGAGUUCUUGAGAGUAUUUUGAGAAGAGGAGUAUAUUUUGUUACAAAUAAGCCUUAAUCCCUUGUUUGGGGUAUAUAUAGGGGUGGAAGAUGACCAAGAUACCCCUAAGGAACAAUUAAGGUUAAAUCUGUCCCUAAUUGACUGUCUGAAAGGCUGAAAAAAAUUGAUCAUAACCUUUUAUUUAGAUGUACAAAUGGGAUGAAACUAAUUUCAUUGGAAAGGAGACUCAAAGAUCUUUCCAUUGAUAUAUAGAAUCUCUCACAGUUCAUUAUAUAUUGGGAGUUAUCAUCGUUUGAAGUUGACUCUGAAAUGCUGAAAAAAUUGGGCAAGCACUGGAGUUAGUAGGCUGCGCGGGCUAAUCGUCCGGGGCUUCUGUUUUGUGCACCCAAACAUGCCUUUACGCUACUCCAAAAAUUAUGAAACUCACCCGGGAUAUAUUACGAUCUUUCCCGAUCGUAACUCAACUUGAAAAUUAAAAAACGGUCGUCGGGAAGGUCGCCAAAUAAAUCCCCAAAGUUUGGAGGUCUAAAAUAAAACUAAGUGUUGAAUCUUGAACACUUAGCAAAAUUUUCUAAGUCUUGGGAUCUUUCAUGGAGCUUUACGAGCUGAAUUUGACACGUGAUUUUGUGGGGUAUUACAAUAUCUCUCCCUUGGGAAUAUUCGUCCUCGAAUGAGACUGACUGAGAGGGGAAAAUGAUAAACUGGAGUACGUACAAGAAAUUCACUACUGAGACAUGGGUUCAUGACUGACAUGAUUGAAAAUUGAGCAUAUUAUAUUGAACAUGCACAUCUGAUGCAUGGGUAACUAGUUUAUGAAUGAAGGACUGAGUGUUCUGAUAAACUGAGUUUCUCAAAUGGGAAUGCAUAUCUGAUGCAUAACUGAUAAGCUGAAUCCAUGUAUAUCUGAUACAUGAAUACAUGACUGAAAGUGUGGAUAAGCUGAUCACACAUAACUGAUGCGUGAAUACAUGACUGAACUGGCUCGUGAACAUGCGACUGAACAUACAAUGGUAAAAGAUACUAAGUUUUGAACUAAAAGCUGGGCAUGGAACUAAAUACCAAGUUUGGUACUGAAAUCUGAACAUGAGAAUGAGUAAGUUCAAGGAAGACUGUUACGUUGAACUGGAAAUAACAGUGAGUCUGAGAUUAAUUACUCAAUAGGCAUGAGCGGGAACAUGAGGACGUAACUGAGCCUGAAACAUGAUACAUAAACGAACUGAGCUUGCAUCUGCUGAAAACUCAUGGUCGACAGGAGCCUUUCUUUAACACCCUUUCUUUAACUCUCUUUCUAUAGAGUUCUAGUGGCUCUAGAUUGCAAGGAAAUCUUGGUGUGGUCUGUCCCUAAUUGACUGUCUGAAAGGCUGAAGUAAAUUGAUCAUAACUUUUUAUUUAGAUGUCCAAAUGGGAUGAAACUAAUUUCAUUGGAAAGAAGACUCAAAGAUCUUUCAAUUGAUAUAUAGAAGCUCUCACAUUUCAUUAUAUAUUGGGAGUUAUGAUCAUUUGAAAUUGACCCUGAAAUGCUGAAAAAACUGGGCAAGCACUGGAGUUAGCAGGCUGCGCGGGCUAGUCGCCCGGGGCUUCUGUUUUGGGCACCCAAACAUGCCUUUACUCUACUCCAAAAAUUCUGAAACUCACCCAGGAUAUACUAAGAUCUUUCCCGAUCGUAACUCAACUUGAAAAUUGAAAAACGAACGUCGGAAAGGUCUCCAAAUAAAUCCCCAAAGUUUGGAGGUCUAAAAUAAGACUAAGUGUUGAAUCUUGAACACUUAGCAAAAUUUUUUAAGUCUUGGGAUCUUUCAUGGAGCUUUACGAGCUGAAUUUGACACGCGAUUUUGUGGGGUGUUACAGUUUGCAUCCAUAUAUGCCUCCAUUCUUGCUGCCUAGACAUGAUAGCCUUCACCUUUAAAGACAGGUGGUGCUAGUGCAGUGAAAGGAGUCUCUGAAUCCAUAGAAGAAAAAACAAGAAGAGAAAGAUAUGUUUCCCUCAAAUGCAGGUCCCUAAAGAAGACAUCUCUUGAUACCAAUUUGUUGGAGUUGUAAGGUUAACUUCAACUCUUUGAAGUGAAAACAAAGAAAGAAAGAAGAGAACAAAUAAUUUACUGCACAAAGGUUGAUUUCUCAUUAAUCUAAAGUGGUGCUUAAAUAGUAAAAAAAAUGCAAUAACUAAAGCCUAUAAUUAAGCCACUACUUUGUACAUGAUUCCAUGAUCAGCAAUAUCCAAAACAACUACAACACUAACAUCUAAAAAUCAGCCACUAAACUAAGUUGAGAACAGGGCUAAAAAAUGUUGGAUAAUAUCCAACAAUUGCUCCUACUUUUACUACAACAACUGAGGCAAUAAUCAACACAUGCACAUCGUCAUAACAUUAGUACAUCACAAAAGAACUGUCAAAACAGGGAAAGCUCACCUUUCUUCAUUGCACUCCAUGUAGUAGGCAGAGGGUGGAAUAGCAGUUUGGUUGUUCCAAACACAGCGUUUUCACUUCCUGAAAGUUCAAUAAUACGGAACAGUUAACAGAAAACCUCAUUGACAUCUCCUAUGACAAGUAAAAGCAGUGUUGAUCUAGAAAGCAUCACAUGAACAGCUAGCUCCGUCAUAGCUAACAUUAUAACAUGUUCUAAACACAAGUUGCUGUCCGUGUUUGAGCAAAAAAAGGAGCUCAUUUCCCUACAUUUGAAUAUGUCGAAGGUUCUUUAAUUCACGCUGUAAGCAGUGAACACGAACAAAUAAAAGGUAGUUAAGUAAUCUGAAGUCCAGACUGCAUGAAAGUUAACAUUUGUCCCCCGUAUUGUUUCCACUAAAUGUACAAUUAGAGAUAUGUUCGCUACGUUUCAUUUCAAUUUUCACCCCUAUUUCCUCAAUUUAGUGCCACACAGGAUGAAAAUCAACAAAUUGAAUCUCAACAAAAAGUAAAUCCAGAUGUGUUAAAUUCUUGAAAUAAAAUCCCUGCAGGUAUUAGCAAAUUUUCCUUGCUAAUCCACACGCGGCUACAUUGACUUCGGCCAGAUUGCACAAAAUCGUGCUGAUACAUUGAUAUCAAACAAAAUCGACAUUCCGUCAAGGCUAUCAGUUUCUUACAAGGUGAUAAUUUAUAUGGACGGGGAAUAUUACUUAAACUCACACAAGUACUUAAUAGAUUUCUUAAAACACACGCACACACAACAGGUUACUGAAUUACGUACACACAUAAGUGGGUUACAAGAUAAUCUGUUUAAAUUGUCUUGUUCUUAGCCAUUUCUAUACGCAUUGAUACUUAACGAUAGUGAUAAUCUUGCUGCUAAUGACAGUUUUUGUCUUGGUUGAGACAGCAUAAAACAUCUCCAUGCACUGUCAUUUUCAUUAUUUUGAUGUUUCACCUACCUCAUAAAUCUAGAGGAAAUAUUCAAAAACAAGAACAAUGAGCUAAGUGGUCUAAGGGGCUGCAAUUUUGUAGUACCCCCGCAUCCAUUAACACGAUGCAAACUAGGUAUAAUUAUACAAGAAAUGUAUAAAAAUUGGUAUAGGAUUUAAAAAGGAAUGCUGGAAACCAAGAUGAUAGUUAAGUGCAUUGUUUCCAGGCGGAACCUUAAAGCCUUGGGGGUCAAUAUGCGUGUUCGAACCUCCCCGACACCCACGAUCCCUAAAUCAUGAAUCCACCACUGAUGUGGUCUCAUGAUACCAAACUCAUCAAUAUAUGAAACAUCUAUGACCUUUACAAUUUCUUUAAUUUGAUGUUGCAGCCUGCCACAUUAAUCUAAUGGACCUUUUCUAAUAAAAAACAGUGAGCCAACUGGUCCAAUAAUGCCUAACUAAUCAGUAUAUAAGGACCUAAAAAUAGUUGAGCCAUAUAUGCAUGUCACAUUACAUUCUUCUGCACUUUUUUCUUCCCCUUUCAUAAUAGUACCAAGCCAAAAGGUACCUACAAAGAUGGAAGUUAAGAACAAGUAUGUAGCAAUAAAAGCCAGCAUAAAUGGUGCACCAAAAGAGUCAGACUUUGAGAUAAAAGUCGAAAACCUCUCACUUAUAGUUGAGCCAGAGUCUAAGGUGGUGGUUGUCAAGAACCUGUUUGUAUCAAUUGAUCCCUAUCAGAUAAACUGGAUGAAGAGCCAAAGUUCAUCACAAACAUCGAUAAGAUAUGCAAAUGCCAUUACUCCUGGAGAGGUCAUUGACACUUAUGGUGUAGGAAGAAUGUUGGUUUCUCAUCGGCCCGACUUCAAGAAAGAUGAUUUGGUAGCAGGCUUUCUUACCUGGGGAGAGUACACUAUAGUAAAGGAAGGUUCCCUGUUGAAUAAGUUGGAUCCUAGUCUGGCGUUUCCUUUGUCUUACCAUGUUGGAGUUUUGGGAUUCAGCGGACUUGCUGCCUAUGGUGGAUUCUUCAAAGUGUGCAAGCCGAAGCCAGGGGAGAAAGUUUUAGUGUCUGCUGCUUCUGGUACAAUCGGACAUUUAGUAGGACAGUAUGCUAAAUUACUUGGAUGUUAUGUUGGUGGCUCUGCUGGUAGCCAAGAAAAGGUAAAUUUUCUUAAGGAGAAACUUGGAUUCGACGAUGCAUUCAAUUAUAAACUAGAAGCUAACCUCAAAUCAGCUCUCAAAAGGUGUUUCCCUAAAGGGAUUGACGUCUACUUUGACAACGUCGGAGGCAAGAUGCUAGAAACUGCAUUGUCAAACAUGAACUCACUGGGCAGAGUAGCCAUCUGUGGGGUUAUUUCUGAGUACACGAAUGCUAGCACACGAGCUUCCCCGGAAAUGUUGGAUAUAGUCUACAAGAGGAUUAGCAUCCAAGGAUUCCUAAUAGCUGAUCUCAUGACAGUGUAUGCAGAUUUCCUGUCGAAAACAGUUGAGUACCUCCACGAUGGAAAACUUAAGGCCAUCGAAGAUAUCUCACAAGGCGUUGAAAGCAUUCCCUCUGCUUUUAUUGGAAUGUUCAAUGGAGAUAAUAUAGGCAAAAAGAUUGUCAAAGUUGCAGAUGAGUGAAAAAAAGAAAAAGAAGAUUCACGGCUGUUGGCCUAUACAUUCAUGAAUUCGCGAACAAUAUCUUAUCUGUACUUCUUUCAAGUUGUAAUCCAUUUAAGCAUUCAUCUUCUGCAUCAAGUUAAAGAACAAGUUUACGUAUUAUGCCUAUCUGAAUCUUGUUUAGUUUUCCUUUUCAUGUAUCCAGGAUUGAAACAAACUCUGUGAUCCUAGUCUACCAACUAUGCCUCAAUCCCAAAUUUUUUAUAUCAACUCAACAAAGUGGAAAAAUACAUCUUUAGCAACUACUUCAAGACCACUAUAAGAUAAAGCAAUAUCAAGGUCCCCAUCAACAUAGAGACCAACUAUUAUGCCAAAAUGAACCCGGGUACUGCAAUAGCAGAGAAGUAAAGUGACAAUGGUUGUACGUAAGUUAGUUUCAAUAGAAUAACAUGAUGGAAAACACUAAAUGUACUAGUAUCACAGUAGAAACAAAAUUUGAGAGGAAUGGAUCAGGAAGAGGAUAAACGUAAUACCAAGUGUUACAUUAACGGCAUUAAUCAUGAACCUGCAGUCAUCCUUCCAUUCAAACAGACUGUCAACAGCCUCUGCCAACGCAGAAUGAACAACUAACUUCUUGUGUUUUCAAGAAAUUAUGGUCCUACAAUUGCAGCCACAGGAAGACACACACAUAGUAGUGAAUGCUUCAUCGUAAGGCUAUUCAUCCUUGACGAGAGCGGUUAAAAGGCACCACAAAGAUGCAUAACCACAACUCCCCUGGAGAGCAAAGAACGUGCCAAAACUAGCACUCAUCAACUUGCGACACUUUUUUUUUUGGGAGAACUAAUUGCAAUAUAAGGAAAAAGAAUUCGAUAAUAUGGACUAUUAUCAUCACAAGUAUCAUGUGACAGAUCAACAUCUAGUUCAGAUUGAUCUACAAAAGCCACACAUUCAAGGGAAGGAGAAGCUUGUUCAACAUUUGUUAUGAUGAACUUGACUUUAAGCUACCAAUAAUGUGAGACGAGAUUUAGCAGACAGGUAACUCUCGCUACAUACAUGCACAUGGUAUGGUAAUAACAUCAGUACAUUACAAAGGAACUGUAGAAACAGGGAAAGCCCGCAUUUCUUCAUUGCGUUCCAAGCAGUUAGCACAGAGAGUGAACUAGCUGUUCGGUUGUUCCUAACAUAGCUUUUUCACUUCCUGAAAAUUCAAUUAGACAGAUUAGUUAGCUGAUAACUGCAUUGACAUCUCAUAUGACAAGUAAAAGCAGUAAUGAUCAAGAAAGCAACACAUGAAGAGCGAGUCCCGACACAGUCUACAUUUAAAGUGUAUUAAACACAAGCUGCUGGCCUUGUUUGAGCAUAAAAGACGAGCUGCAUUUCCCUACAUUUAAAUAUGUCGAAGGCUCUUUAGUUCAUGUUGUAAGCAGUGAAGAUGAACAAAUACAAGGUAGUUGGAUAACCUCAAGCUAGACUGCAUGAAAGUGGUGUAUAAAUGGUAUACUUAGUAUGACAAAUCCCAUAAGAAAAUAAAAAUGAACAAAGAGAUGCUCAUCCUGAUUCCAGUGCAACAUAUUGACCGGCCCAAAAAUGGGUAAUUUGAUUCAGAUCUGGAACACUUCACAGAAAGCAUGACCCUCCCACUACUAAAAAAGACCAAAAAAUGACGGCCAAAAGUGAAGGACAAUGUCGUUUUUUUGGACAACGUUGCUUUUUGCAAACGAUGGCCUGCGUCGCUUUUUUUACCGCGGACAAAGUCGUUUUUUGAAAAAAAAAAAAAGAUCUUUUUAGAAAAAGCGACGUUGUGCGUGGUUUUUUGUUCUUCAUGUGUAGAAUAAAUAAUGAAUAAAAAACGAUGGACAUUGUCAUUUUAUUGAAGAAAAAUAUUUUUUUUUUAGAAAAACCGACAACGUCCGUCGCUUUUCUAUAUUUUUUUGAAUGCAGAAAUCGGCAUUUUCUGCAUUCCACCUGCCAAAUAAAAAUGCAAUUCAAUAUGUACGGCCCCUGACAACACACAUUACUAAAAUAAUCAUACAACACACUACAUCAUCAAAACAUUUAAGCAAUUCAAUUAAACAACAUCCAAAACACUUAACAAUUAAUCCAACAACAUCAAAACACUUAAGUGAUCUUGAAGGUUUUCCAAUAGUUAAAAGUUAAAAGAAUGUUUAAAAAGUGUCUAGAAGCCAAAUCCAAAAACACUAAGGAGUAGCCCCAACAAACUCCUCAUCACUUUCUCCUCAUCACUUUCUGUUUCUUCUUCGCUACUUGAAUCGGGAGAUGGAGAACGGUGACGACAACGAUGAGUCAUGCUAACCAUUUGUUUCUUAAGUUCCUCGAUGGUCAUGCACAUGACUUCAGUUUGAGCAACAGAUUGUGCCACGACGCGUGUAAGCUGUGCAAUUUGUUGCGACAUAUCAGCGAGCUGAACACCAUUAAUCGCCUCAGCCUGGCGCGAGGAACCAAUACCAGCCCAUCCAACCUCGAAGCGUUGCAAUUCAUUUCGAGAACCCAACCCAUAGGUUCUCCCCUUGUCUUCCUCCCGCCACUUUUUCGGUCCGAAUUUGAAUAGCUUCCUCCUAUGUAGGCUCGAUUGGACCAAACUCAGACACGUAGCGUGUAUAUUCAUUCUGCAUAUUAAAAAGGACACGUUAGUAAAUUUUACUAUUACUAAGUAAGGUGGAGCAUAACGUAAAUUUUAAUAUGUUUUGCUUACAUAUUGAAUACAAAAAUAAAUAAGAAAUCAACUUUUUUUUCCUAAACAUUAUUUUAAAGCUAACUUUUGCUUUCCAUCAAAUCUAAUUCGACAAGAAUUUCCACACACAACCCUUUGACUUUUUAAAAUUUGUUCCUCGUAUUGUUUCCACAAAUUGUACAAUUAAAGUUAGCAUGGCUACGUCUCAUUUCAUCCUAUUUCCUCAAUGUAGUGCCACAAAAAGGAUCCAAAUCAACAAACAAUAAGUAAAUCCAUGUUAGUCAAAUUCUUGAAACAAUUUUCCUACAAGGAUUAGCAAAAAUCGUUCGAUAACACUUCUUCCUAUUUCUUUCUCAAUGAUAUCCGACGAUCAAUUUUCCUUGCAAGUACAUACUCGGUACAUUGACCUCGGUCAGAUUUCAGAAAAUUAUGCUAAUACGUUGAUAUCAAACAAAAUAGACCUUCCGAGAAAUGCAUUAAACAAGCCUAUUAGUAAUUUGUACUUGGUGAUACAUCACCAUAGCAUUGAAGAGUUCUUGGAAAGGUCAAGUUACAGAUAUGAUUUGCUACGGUAUUUAGCAACAAGAUAGAGAAUUACUUACAGUAGGGAGACAACUUGUUUAAAAUAACAAAGAAGAGGAGAAUUGAGCUUUAGUAAUUAGAAGAAAGCAUCGCAUUAAACAACGCUUUAAAUCCCAAUAGAUUUAUCUAGAUUCCCCUGUUCAUUGGCAUCUCCAAUCUACACUAGUGAUAAAAACAGUUUAAUGUGUUUCCUCAAUCCUUUUCUCCUUCCAACCCACUUUUCUUCAUGACAACUUUAUUACCAAACUGCGAGAAGAUUUAAAUUGACCAAAUAUGCAACAGAAUGAGAAGAUAGACCUGGAGAAAAUUAUCAGUAAGCUAUAAGCAGCAACGAAAAGGACCAAAUUAGAUAGUAUCUCCUACUUUAACUCUUAUUCAGUAAUGCCACUAUUUCGUAUUUUUCCCUGUUAAGUUUCACCUAAGAAGACAAGUAAAAGUAGGUGCGAGAUCAAACACUAGCACGGGUUAGGCACAUUAUGCUGCCAUGAUUUCUGUGUCCGUGGUCCCCUUUAUGAUUACUCUAUCUAGAGGCCGAAUCGACCCCCUUAUAAAGCUUCUCAAGAAGAACACUAAAAUUAGUCCAGAAGAAAAACACAGAUUAUGUAGAUUGUAAUACCUGAAGAAAAAUACAGCUAGUAACUAGAAGCAAUGAGAAAACCAAAACAAAUCCAGAAGAAACUAAGCAGUUAGCUACCUAUUAGCUGCAAUGAGAAAAGCGAAAAUCAGAUACUAGGAAGACCGUAAUAUCGAUUCCAAAAGUAUCGAGUUUCCGCUUUAUGCCUCAUUAGGUUUCACCAAUAAAAGAUUAAUUAAAGAAGCCACUAGAUCAAACAAUAACCCUGGGAAGGACCUCAGCUUUAUCGGUGCAUUCACAUGCCAAACGUUCUAUGUUCAUGGUGCUCUUACUCCGACUAGAGGCAUAACAUUCUUUAAAACACCGCUGAACAAGAGAAAAGAUGUCCAACAUCAUUUAGUUCAAAGUCAAAGACAAAUUUAUUGUUCCUUGAAGAUAGUGCAUAAAGGAAAAAAUGACUAACAAGAUCUCGAAGCAAUACGGUUUAAAGAUGUCUUUUACAUAUGCAUUGUCUUGUUCUGUAUGCGAAAUAACAAUACGAACUUAACAGCAAUUGAGGAAAACAAAGUAUACUUACAAGUUCUUUGUCACUUGGUUUUCUUUGAUUGGAGUUUUUUCAGCCUUUUGUGUUUUGUUGCAUCUGCAGCCUCUUCUUUAGAAAAAGGACAAACUAGACUUUCAACGUAGAUUGCUAUCUUAGGAAACUCAUCAAAAUCAAUAACCUCUGAAUAUCUAAAUGAAGAAUCCUUCAGCUUGUAUAUCAUGGAAUAUUUAACAAACCUGAAAAAAAUUUCACCUUUGUUUGACAUGAAACAAGGCAGAUAAAAAUCACACCGCGGUGUAUCAAAAGGAUAAUUGACGGUUAACAUCUUUGUCCAAGAUUGUUUAACCCCAUACUCCUUCAUAACCCAAAAAUCUACAUGAGAGGUCGCAUUAUCACAAAAAAUGGAAAGAUCACUUCCCAACACUCCCAAAUACAAAUGAAUAUAUCCCUCUUUGUAGCAAGGAUGCUCCACUUCUCCCCAUUUCUCGUUAGCCAAAUCAAACGAUAUGAUGUUCCAUUCCUUAUAGUCACUUAUCAAACAUUCACCUUAGCAUUAGGCCAGUGAAGUUUCCCCUUCACUAAGAUAUCUGAAAUGUAUACUUCCUCUCGACUUUUACACUUCCUCAAUUGACAAUCGUCAACACUUCCCCAAGAAUCACACUUUAGACUAUAUAGUUUGAGCUCACCUCGAUCGAACUUUACCUUUUCUACAAAAGGUACCCAAUAACUUAUAAUCAUCAUGAAACUUAUCAUAUCCAAAACCAUACACGAGCGCUUUAUCAAACCACAAUGUAGCUCUAGGACAAGGUAAUUUUUUGUACUUUCUAUUCGAUGGAUUCCAUAGAAACAAAUUAUAUUUAGAAUCCACAAGACAAAUCAAUCCAUUGAUAGAACUUAGAAUUGUUAUAUAACUAGGCAAUUCAUUGUACAACCCGUCGGAUAUCAUACGAUGACCCAAGUCAGAUACCUCCGUAACAGAAUCAUUAAAUAAAGAAUCAAGAUUACAAUCUUAAAUAUUCACCCCCUGUAUAGAAUUCCACAUCACCCUAUGUUGGGUAUAACUACUAAGAUGAGUUUGGAUAAAUUCGGGGCUCGAGAUUAAAGCAAGCCAAGAUUUCGAAACACACCUGAAUUGCAAGAGGGACAAAACUCAACAUACGCUUAUAAUGUAGAUGCUCAUUAUUAUUAUCAGAUACAAUAAAAUGUGUAUUAUUAAAUUCGGGGCUAGAGAUUUAGCAAGCCAAGAUUUCGAAACACACAAACUCAACAUAAGCUUAUGAAGUAGAUACUCUUCUUACUACUCCCUCCCCUGACAAUAUUUGUCCACUACACUAAAAUUAAAAAUAAAUGUCAAACAAUACUUGUCUGGUUUAAAAAUCAAUGAAUAAUUUACCCUUUUCUACCCACUUUACCCUCGCUAUUAAAUACUAUUCAUCACUCAAUACAUUUUUCAAAAUAUUAAAGUUAUUACUCCUUCCGUCUAUUUUUACUUGUCCACUUUUCUUAUUAUUUUGGGAUGUGCAACAAUACUUGUCCAAUUUACAAAACCAAUGGUAUUAAAUAUAAUACAUCUCUCAUUUCAUUUUUGAAAGCAAAAAAAUUAUUAUAUUCAAAAGGUGACAUAGUAAAAUCACCCCUCCAUUUAUCGUUUCAAGGUACGUGCCAAGUAAAAAGUGGAUAAGUAUUUACGGACAGAGGGAGUGUAUUCAAAUUUUAUCCUUACUAUUAGAUACUACUCAUCACUCAAUACAUAUUUCAAAAUAUUAAAUUUAUUAUAUUCAAACAGUAAUAUCGUAAAAUUACCCCUAUUAUAUAUUAUUUCUUAACAUGCAUGCCAAUACAGGUAUUGUUGGACAGAGGGAGUAAUAUAUUCGGGGCUAAAUAUUAAAGCAAGCCAAGAUUUCUAAACAUACCUGAAUUUCAAAAGGGAUGAGUUCAGCCGGCAGAAGAGGGAUUGUAAAGUUCAAAUCUUGCAUUGAAUUUGAUGGAAAUCCAGCAGAUUUUGUGCGCUUCUUCCAUUUUUGGUGUUGAGAGUAGGCUUUAUCUUCCUCAUUUUCCAUUUGGGCGCCACAAAUUUGAGUGAAAUUUUCGCAAAGUUUAUAGUAGUCAGCUGUGGAUCGAAUUCGACAUGGGUCGGGUCGGGUAUAUUGGGAAUAGUGGGUUCUCUCUUCAAAAUUGGAUAUCUUUAGGCAAUUUGGGGUUUUUCGUUUAUCUAGAGUAUGGGUAACACAUUUAUUAAUUGUGAGUCAGGUAGACGAUUUGUAAAAAUUGAUCGUAUUUUUGAAAAUAACUUCUUCUAUUUUAUUUUAUUGAAUACUUGGCGCAUAACUUUAUUUGAUUAUUUAAUACUAUGGUAGUAUGGAAAAUAAAUAAUAGAAUACUCUUGAUUUGUAAAAAUAAAUAAGUAAAUUAAAAUUUUCUUGACUUCUGAUUUUGAAUACAAUUCUUUUAAUUUUGAAAUUGUGGGGUCUAAACGACCAAUUUUAAAUGAAAAAUUGGGCGUGUUGUAGCAUAGGCGUUUAGGUCAUAUCUCUAAAUACAGAGUUGAUAGAUUGGUUAAGUCUAAUAUUUUACCUUCUCUUGAUUUUGGGGACAUAGGAACAUGUAUUGAUUGCAUUAGAGGAAUGAUACAAAAGUGAGUGUGUAUCAAUAGAGUCAAGCCAACACAAGAACACAAGAAUAACAAGAUGAACAACAACAAUGUUAGUGAAUCGAAAUAGGCCACACACGGCUUCACUAGACUUCAAGGUUUACAAAAACAAUAAGAUGAUAGAGAUUACAAUAACAACAAGAAGAGCGACAAAGUGACAUCAACUAUAGUGAAUCGAAAAUAGCCCCACACGGCUUCACUAUGUUACCAUACAAACAACAAGAUUACAAAAUUAAAGAUAGUAACUUGACAUACAAUAUUCAAGAAUCUAAGAACCCUAACAACAUGAAAGGACCCUAAGAUUAAAGAAUAUUAUCACCAAGCUCUUACUUGGACCAAGAGGAACUCAAUGACCUCAAGAUCCUAGUUUCUAGCCAAGAUUCAACCCAAGUGUCACUCCAAUUGGGAAUUUCGGUUUUGAGCUUUUCCAAUGGAAGAGAAAAGUUCAAAAUAUUACAAGUCUUGUGUUCUCAAAAUAUCAUGAAUGAACUACCACAAGACUAGCCCUAACAAAUGACUUAUAUAGUCAAUUACAAAGGAGGGACAAAAGACCAAAAUACCCUUGGCAUUAAGUGGGUGGGUUUGGGGUGUUUUGUUGGGCCUCUUCACAUUUUAAUAACUAUAGGCCCUUUGAUGGGCUCACAAGGGCCUCACACAAGGCCAAGGAUGUGAACAAGGUUUGGAGUCGUUGCAACUCACGCGCUUGGCUUCAUGUGAAAGGUCUCGAGCUAGGAAUUCUCGCACCAUCCUCUCCAUCUUGAAGGGAAUUUGUCCUCAAAUUCGGAUCAUUUCCAUCCUCCACCGUGUCCACCCGAGAGAGGUCACACACGUUGAAAGUGUUGUGCACUUGAUAUUCCGGGGGUAGAUCAAUCUUGUAGGCGUUGUCGUUGAUCCUUUCUAAUACUUGGAACGGGCCAUCACCCCGCGGCAUCAACUUAGCAUUCCUUUUAGAUGGGAAUCUAUCCUUCCUUAGGUGCACCCACACCCAAUCUCCCAGUUUAAGAAUGAGCUUUCUUCUUCCUUUAUUGGUUCGCCUUGCAACUUCUUGGUUUUUCUUCUCCAACCGCAACCUCACCUUCUCAUGUAGCUUCUUAUGGCCUCGGCCUAUUUGCUUCCAUCUAAGCUUAUCACAAAAUCACUUGGCAAAGGGUUUAAAUCCAAAGGGGUAAGGGGGUUGAUUUCGUAUACACACUCGAAGGGUGUCAUCCCCGUGCUUGAGUGUAUAACACGAUUAUAAGCAAACUCAAUCAACGGUAAGUGCUCCUCCCAAGAAGUCAUUUUUCCCUUAACCAUGGACCGUAGCAUAGACCCUAAGGUCCUAUUUACUACUUCCGUUUGGUCAUCGGUUUGUGGGUGGCAUGAAAUCGAAAACAACAACUUAGUACCGAGCUUACCCCACAUGGACUUCCAAAAGUGGCUUAGGAAUUUAGAAUUCUUAUCACUCACUAUAGUCCUCGGAACACCAUGAAGUUUUACAAUAUUAUCAACAAACAAAGAGGCUACACUAGGCGCAUCAUCACAUUUAGAACAAGGAAUAAAGUGAGCCAUCUUGGAAAACUGAUCCACCACGACAAAAAUACUAUCCCGCGCCCUUUUAGUUCUCGAUAAUCCCAACACGAAGUCCAUUGAUAUAUCAAGCCAAGGACGCAAAAGGGUGGACAACGGGGUGUACAAUCCAUGGUGUUGGAUCCGUGACUUAGCUCCUUUGCACUCAACACAUUGGCCGCAAAUUCGGGCCACAUCCUUGUGCAUUCUGGGCCAAUAAAAUUAUUCUUCCAAAAUUUCGAGGGUCUUCUCGACCCCAAAAUGACCCAUUAGAUAGUCAUUGUGUGCUUCCUUCACAAAUAAUUCUCUCCACGAACUUGAGGGAACACACAAUCAUCUACCCUUAAAUAAGUAUCCAUCAAAUUUGGUAUAAGGAUAGGAACCCCUAUCCGUAACCCACCUAUCCCUAUCCAACUCUUUAUUUUCCCUAUAGAUAGGAGCGAAGUGAGGGUCCUCGGGAUAUAAAGACUUGAGGCUUUCAAACCCCAUCAACUUAGAUGACAAAGUAGACACAAGCACAUGUUUUCGGGACAAAGCAUCGGCAACCACAUUGUCUUUACCCUUCUUGUAAUGAAUAACAUAAGGGAAAUUUUCAAGAAAUUCAAUCCAUUUGGCAUGCCGCCGGUUAAGCUUGUCUUGUGCCCGUAGAUGCUUCAAGGAUUAAUGAUCUGUUUGGAUCAUGAAUUCUUUAGGCCACAAAUAAUGUUGCCAAGUGGCCAAGGCUCUAAUCAAGGCAUACAACUCAAAAUCAUACGUAGAGUAGUUUAGAGUUGCUCCUUUGAGCUUUUCUCUAAAGUAGGCAAUAGGCUUCAAUUCUUGCAUUAAAACCGUACUUAUGCCGACUUUGCUAGCAUCACAUUUGACCUCAAAAAGUCUAGUCAAAAUUCGGCAAUUGUAGUAAAAGGGUCGAGAUGAGCAUAGCUUUCAAGUCCUCGAAGGCCUUAGCUUGUUCAUUUUUCCACUUGAAAGGUCGAUCCUUUUUAAUCACUUCGGUCAAGGGGGCGGCAAUGGUGCUAAAUCCUUUGACAAAACGUCUAUAAAAACUAGCCAACCCGUGGAAGCAUCUCACUUCACCUAUGGUUUUGGGGGUUGGCCAAUUUUUAAUAGCGUCAAUCUUAGAUUCAUCCACUUCGACCCCUCUUGAGCUCACCACAAACCCAAGAAAUACAACCUUAUGGAGACCAAAAGAACACUUUUCUAGAUUGGCAUAUAACUUCUCCUUUCGGAGGACAUCAAAUACACAUUAUAAAUGCUUUACAUGCUUAUCUAAGGACUUACUAUACACCAACACGUCAUCAAAGUAAACAACAAAAAAAAUUCUGAUAAAUGGCUUUAUCACAUGAUUCAUUAGCCUCAUGAAAGUACUUGGAGCAUUUGUUAGGACGAAUGGCAUAACCAUCCAUUCACAGAGACCGAAUUCGGUCUUGAAGGUGGUUUUCCAUUCAUCACCCGAUUGCAUACGAAUUUGGUGAUAGCCACUCCUUAAAUCAAUUUUAGAAAACAAACACGAACUAUUCAAUUCAUCAAGAAUAUCAUCUAGCCUAGGAAUAGGGUGAUGAUAUUUUACUGUUAUCUUGUUGAUGGCUCGGCAAUCAACACACAUACACCAAGUCCCGUCUUUCUUGGGCACUAGUAGCACCGGGACUGCACAAGGGCUCAUACUCUUCUUGAUAUACCCUUUGUUGAGGAGUUCCUCAACUUGGCAUUGCAAUUCUUUGGUAUCCGUUGGGUUGCUCCUAUAAGCCGGUUUGUUGGGCAAUUGUGAACCCAGUACAAAAUCUAUUUGAUGCUCAAUUCCCCAAAGUGGGGGCAAUUCUUGUGGUAAUUCUUUCGGGAAGACAUCUUCGUAAUCCUGUACAACAUGAGAAAUAGGAGGAGAAAUGGAAACGUUAGUGGGGUUAGUAUUAAAAUAAUGAGCCAAGAGGAGCAUCGGAGUGUCCUCAUCAUGAUCCACAAAUAGUUCUUUCCUCCUAUACAUCAUCACCACACUUCCUUGCCCCUUAGAAAUUAGGAUCUCCUUGGUUUCUCCUACUCUCUCACUCUCGGAUUCCCCUCUUUUUCCCUCACUCUCGACCUUCUUUCCCUUCUUCCUCAAUUCCCGCAUCUUUUGGUGUAAUUCAUUCACUUGGGAAGGCAAUAAUGGAUGAAGAGCGAACUUUCGGCCAUCCUUCUCAAGUGUAUAUCGAUUGGACCUUCCAUCAUGUUUAGUCGACCUAUCGUAUUGCCAAGGCCUUCCUAACAAUAAGUGACAAGCUUGCAUUGGUAUCACGUCACAAAGCACCUCGUCAUGGUAGUUGACUACCUUAAAACGUAUCACGCAUUGCCUUGUGACCUUUAACUCUCUGCAUUUAUUCAACCAUUGCAACUUGUAAGGACUAGUGUGAGGUGUAGUUGGAAAUUUCAAGAAGUUCACCAUUGCAACACUAACCACAUUCGCAUAACUUCCACUAUAUAUCACCAUAGUGCACACACUUCCCUUCAUAAGACAUUUAGUAUGGAAUAGAUUCUCCCGUUGGCUAGGAUCAUCUAUCACCUUACUAAUCAUGGCACGCCUCACUACAAAGUUUAGAACCACACACUCCCCUUCUUUCGGAUAUGGAUCCUCACAAUCAUCAUCAUCAUCAUGUGGCUCAUUUUUGGGUUCCUCUCCAUCUUGAGUCUUGGCCUCAUUCUCUUCAUUUUUAAGACCCACUUCCUCACCAAGGUAAUACAAUCUCUCUUCUCUUAGGAUCACAUUGUGUCGGUUUGGACAUUCAUUGGCUUUAUGUCCCCAACCUUGGAACUUAAAACAUUGGAACCCUUUAGGAUUAGGAUACUUAUGAGCCUCUUGCCUUGGUGGAUAUUUUUGUAUUGCCUUGGCCUCGGGUUGCCUUGUAGUGGUGUGUUGGUCUUUGUUUUUGUGCCAACCCGUGGUGGAGGAAGCAACCUCCUUACCCCUCGGCCAACCCGAGGGUGCUUGACCCUUGGAUUUGUAACUUGUUCUUUCCUUAAAUUCUCUUUCAAUUUUAAUGGCCUCUUGAAAGAUUCCUUCAACGGUAUCAAAUUUAUGGAGAGUCAAGUGAGUAGUAAUAUCCUUAUUCAACCCACACUUGAACCGAAUAAUGUCAUGGACGAUUUGUUCUCCCCGAUGGCCAAGCUUCAACAUGAGUUAUUGAAACUCAUCAUAGUAUGCCAUAACACUUCGAUUCCCUUGUCGCAAGUUGUACAACCUCGCAAUCAACUCAUGACGAUACCUUUUGGGAAGGUACCAUUGCCUCAUUAGAUACCUUAAUCGAAACCAUAGUGGUGGUUGCCUAUGUAUCAACUCAUUUCCAAAUCGCUUGAUGUAUUCCCACCAAGUGUUAGCAUAGACUUCAAAGUGGGCUAUGGCAUAAAAACUCUUCUUCUCCUCGAAAAUAUCAUUCACUUGGAAUACCUUGUCACACGCUGAUUCCCAAGCGAGAUACACCUCGGGGUCACUUUCACCCUUAAAGAUAGGUAGACUCAAUUUGAUGGUAUUGAUGCCCAUGUCUCUCUCUAGGUGUUGGUUUCCCCUUUCUCUAUACCCUCGGUAUCUCCUUGGAUCCACACGACCCUCUCUCAUCUCCUCCUCCCUUAUGUAGGCAUCGUCAUAGGCUCCAUACCCUUCAUAAUCCCCUCUACCAUAUUCCUUAAGAUGGACAGGACGAUUUUGGACAUUUGGAACUUGAUUCGGAGGAAUUGGAUUUUGUGGAGGUGGUGGUAUUUGGUUUAGUGGAGCUUGGAAAGAGGGGGUUUGGGUUUUGUGGAGGCAUUUGACGUCUAAGUACCUCUUGCGGAACUUGAGGAAUUUGGGAAUGGGUUGGUCUAUUAGAGUCUCGAUUUAGAAUGUUAUGAGUGGUUUGGCUUGCGGCAUUUAGGGGAGCUAGUGAAGAAAUUGGCAAUUGUGGCCAUGUUUUGGGAGUAACGGUGGCGGAGGAAUUUCUAUCAUGUCCACUUGAUGAAACAUUUCAAAGAGUAGAAGGACGAGAGUUCCUUUGACUCUCCACUUAUUCUAAUUCCUUUGACUCUCCACUUGUUCUAACCUCCCACUAAUAGUCGUCACUUCUCACCUUAUGGCUCCCACUUCCAUACUCAAUCUUUCAAGAGUGACCCUCAUAUUCUUCAUUUCAUUAGAAUCCACGGUUUGACAUGUGGUUCCCUCCAUUGUCAAGGUAUCACCUACGCAAACAUCAAACACGUUAGUUAAAAUCCCUCUUCUCACUCACACUCGAGCUCCACAAGUGUUGUAGAUUGGCUAGUUGAAUCCUUAAGGUAUGAGUAUGCUUUUGUCCGGAGUGGAUUUUUGUUGGAAACUCAAAGAAUUCUCGUCGGAAUAGAGCCAAGAGUUACAACGUAUUCAAAUGACAAAAGAACACAAACAAACGUUGACACGAACACAAAGCUUCAAAGGACUAAUUAACAAGCUAGUAGGAAUGUACUAGGUUGUCAAUUAGUGUUCAAACCAACAAAAAACACUAAGAAACAAUAAAAUUAAACUAAGAAAUCUAAAAUUUGAACUCAAAAUAUUGUGUGAACAGUAAUUUAGUGAUGUGGCAGUCCACUAUUGGCCUCGGUUUUGUCAGAAUUUUACUCUCCAAUUUCAAGUCUUGACCAAUCUAUAAUUUGGAAAUGGUGGAAUUGGUUAAUGGAGGAAAAUUCGAUCUUGAAGCUUACUUUUCAAAUUCAAAACAAGACUUGACCUUCUUGGUACUUUCUCCUUGAAACAAGGUCAUUAAAUCAAGGAAAGUAGGUGAAAAGUGGUUGUCAAGUCUUUUGAGUGAUGUGAUCAAGUCUUUCAUCAACAAAUACUACAACUUGGUGUUUCACCUUUUGUGGAUCUAAUGUUAACUUUUUGUUUUAAAAAAGAUGAAAAGGGUGAAGAACAAAAAGAACACAAUAACAACCCCAAGAACAACCAACAACAACCACGGCCAAAACAAUCCACCACAACAACAAUGUUCAACAAUGGACAGCCAAGUUCAAGUUCACAAUAACAAAAUCAAUUUUUAGAGCUCAAAUCUAGAUCGACUCAAAGUGUUAGUGAACAAGAGAAAUAAAACUAGAAACAACACUGAAGACAAUUAAAAAUCUUUCGAAGACACAACAAGAAUACAAUUUUUGUCCAAGAACACAACAACGGACAGAUUUGACUGUUUCUGAAAUUUUUCAGUUUUCAGUUUUUUUGUUUUUUGUAGUUUUCAAGUCCCAAGCCCAAGAUUGAUCUUGUUAAAACAAAAUCGAAGAUGACUUUGAUACAAAAGUGAGUGUGUAUCAAGAGAGUCAAGCCAACACAAGAACACAAGAAUAACAAGAUGAACAACAACAAUGCUAGUGGAUCGAAAUAGGCCACACACGACUUCACUAGACUUCAAGGUUUACAAAAACAAUAAGAUGAUAGAGAUUACAAUAACAACAAGAAGAGCGACAAAGUGGCAUCAACUAUAGUGAAUCGAAAAUAGCCCCACACGGCUUCACUAUGUUACCACACAAACAACAAGAUUACAAAAUUAAAGAUAGUAACUUGACAUACAAUAUUCAAGAAUCUAAGAACCCUAAAAACAUGAAAGGACCCUAAGAUUAAAGAAUAUUAUCACCAAGCUCUUACUUGGACCAAGAGGAACUCAAUGACCUCAAGAUCCUAGUUUCUAGCCAAGAUUUAACCCAAGUAUCACUCUAAUUGGGAAUUUCGGUUUUGAGCUUCUCCAAUGGAAGAGAAAAGUUCAAAAUAUUACAAGUCUUGUGUUCUCAAAAUAUCAUGAAUGAACUACCACAAGACUAGCCCUAACAAAUGAAUUAUAUAGUCAAUUACAAAGGAGUGACAAAAGACCAAAAUACCCUUGGCAUUAAGUAGGUGGGUUUGGGGUGUUUUGUUGGGCCUCUUCACAUUUUAAUAAGUAUAGGACCUUGGAUGGGCUCACAAGGGCCUCACACAAGGCCAAGGAUGUGAACAAGGCUUGAAGUCAUUGUAACUCACGCGCUUGGCUUCAUGUGAAAGGUCUCGGGCUAGAAAUUCUCAUAUCAAGGAAAGUUGACUAAAACAAGCAAAAAGAAUGAUAUUUGUAGUUCUAGUUGUUGAAAAUCAUUCACCCAGACAUAAGUGGUCCGUAUUAUACUUCAAUAUGUGGUUCAAAUUAUUUUAUCACCUUUAUUGAUAACUUUUCUCGGUAUGAUUAUGUUUUUCUUAUUAAAAAAAUCAUAUUCUCUUGAAAUGUGCAAAGUGUUUAAAACUGAAGUAGAGAAACAACUGGGAAAGGUUAUUAAGAUAGUGUGGUCUGAUCAUGAGGGUGAGUACUAUGGUAGAUACACUGAGACUGGGCAACAGAUGGGACCUGUAACACCCCAACUUAGGAAGGAGUUCCACAUCAGCAAAACACAGGAGGAAUGUUUGGUAUAUAAGUAAGAAAACCUUACUCCCUAGUGAUGCGUUAAAUCCAUGAGGGCCUGGACCCAGAGUGGACAAUAUCACUAGUGGGUUGAGGAGUUCAGGGGUAUCUCGGGCCUUGAUGGUUCAGGAUGUCCGUUAUGGCCAGGGCCCGAGCUCGGGUCAUGACAGAACUCUUUGCCAAAUAUCUACAAGAUUGUGGCAAAGUUUCCCAGUACACCAUGCCUGGUAGUCCUGACCAAAAUGGUGUAGUCGAAAGGCGAAAUAGUACUUUAAAAGAUAAUAAUGAGAAGUAUGAUGAGUAGAUCUAACUUACCUGAGUUUCAAGCUAUUAAAACUGUACUUUAAAAGAUAUGAUGAGAAGUAUGAUGAGUAAGCUAUUAAAAUCAUACUUUAAAAGAUAUGAUGAGAAGUAUGAUGAGUGUGAAGCUAUUAAAAUUGUACUUUAAAAGAUAUGAUGAGAAGUAUGAUGAGUAAGCUAUUAAAAUCAUACUUUAAAAGAUAUGAUGAGAAGUAUGAUGAGUAAGCUAUUAAAAUCGUACUUUAAAAGAUAUGGUGAGAAGUAUGAUGAGUAAGCUAUUAAAACCGUACUUUAAAAAACUUGUACUUUAAAAGAUAUGAUGAGAAGUGUGAUGAGUAAGCUAUUAAAACCGUACUUUAAAAGAUAUGAUGAGAAGUAUGAUGAGUAUGAUGAGAAGUAUGAUGAGUAAGCUAUUAAAAUCGUAAUUUAAAAGAUAUGAUGAGAAGCCGUAAUUUAAAAGAUAUGAUGAGAAGUAUGAUGAUUAGAUACGAUGAGUAGAUCUAACUUACCUGAAAUCCUCUGGGUUGAAGCUGUUAAAACCUCCAUAUAUAUUCUUAAUUGUGUCCCUUCCAAAUCAGUCCCUAAAACCCCUUUUGAGUUGUAGAACCAACAGAAAAUUUAGUUUAAAUUAUUUUCGAGUUUAGAGACCUUCUGCAAAGGUAAAGAUAUAUAACCCUUCAGAAAAAAAAACUGAACCUAGAACCAUGCGUUGUUUUUUCAUUUGGUUAUCCAACUGCGAAUGUAAAGAUAUAUAACCCUUCAGAAAAGAAAACUGAACCUAGAAGUUGUUUUUUCAUUAGUUAUCCAACUCAUUCUAAAGGAUAAAGGUUCUACAGUCCUACAAGGGGAACAAGAAUAGUUGAAUCUCAAAAUGCAAAACUUCUUGAAUUUGAUGUUGCAGAUAAGGAUUGUUCUCAGCAUAUCUCAGCAUAUCACUCCUGACUUAAUUGUUUCCCAUUCAAGUCAGUCCUUAAAACCCCUUUUGAGUUAUGGACCAAUAUAAACUUCAGUUUAAAUCAUUUUUCGAGUUUGGAGAUGUUUUGCGAAGGUAAAGAUAUAUAACCCUUCAGAAAAGAAAACUGAACCUAAAACCUCGCAUUGUUUUUUCAUUGGUUAUCCAGCUCAUUCUAAAGGAUACAAAUUCUAUUAUCCUACAAGGGGAACAAGAAUAGUUGAAUCUCAAAAUGCAAAAUUUCUUGAAUUUGAUGUUGCAGAUAAGGAUUGCUCUCAGCAUAUUGCUCCUGAGCCAACUGAAAGUAUUGAAGCUGUCAGAAUUCCUCUUAGUAUUACCUCAAAAUCAUUAGUAUCUGCACCUAUACAUGAUGAACCUCAUAUACAUGUGCAAACUGAUGACUUUGUACCUGCAGAAAUUAGGUGCCUAUUAUUGAAAAAGUGGUUCAGGCACCUGCUGUUGUUGAUCAAGAGGUUCAGAAUUUAAGGAGAUCAAGUAGACCAAGACGAUCGUGCGCUAUUGGAUGAUUAUUUAGUAUACCUAGAUGAAGGUGACAUUGUUGAUCCUGUAACCUUUUCGGAAGCUUCAUCGUGUGCUCAAUCAAAGAUGUGGCUUGAUGCUAUGUCUGAAGAGAUAAAAUCCAUGAGUAAAAAUAAUGUGUGGGAGCUUUCAAAGCUUCCUAAAGUCUAAAAGGUUGUUGGAUGUAAAUGGAUUUUUAUGACCAAGAAGGAUUCAAUGGAAAUAUUGAACGAUUCAAGGCGAGAUUACAAUGAAACUUUUUCACCAGUGUCAUCUAAGGAUUCUUUUAGGAUCAUUAUGGCAUUAGUAACCCAUUUUUAUCUUGAGCUACAUCAAAUGGAUGUAAAGACAACCUUUUUGAAUGGUGAUCCUAAUGAAGAGAUUUACAUGCAACAACCCCAAGGUUUUGUUGGUAAAGGCAGCGAGCAUCUUGUGUGUAAAUUGAAGAAAUAUAUUUAUGGCUUGAAGCAAGCUUCUCGAUAGUAGUACUUGAAGUUUGAGGAAAUUAUGAAUUCUAUGGGGUUUGUGGAGAACAAUAUUGAUCAUUGCUUCUAUCUCAAGAUUAGUGGGAGUAAUUUCAUCAUUCUCACUCUUUACGUUGAUAAUAUUUUACUUGCUAGUAAUAAUUCAGGACUGUUGCACGAAAUUAAACAUUCAUUAAAUAAAAUUUUUGAUAUGAUAUAUCUAGGAGAGGCAUCAUUUGUUCCGGGCAUUGAGAUUCGACGAGAUAGAUCUCGUAAGUUAUUGGGGUUUUCACAAAAGGCCUAUAUUGAUCGUAUUUUGAAAAGAUCUCAAAUGAAAAAUUGUAAGCCUGGUGAUGUCCCUGUGGUGAAAGGUGAUAAGUUAAGCCUAGACUUGUGUCCCAAAAAUGAUCUUAAGAAAGAUUCUAUGAAAUAUGUGCCUUAUCGAAGUGUUGUUGAAAGUCUUAUGUAUGCACAAGUUUGCACUCGUCCUGACAUUGCUUUCAUUGUCAAUGCUCUUGGAUGUUAUCAAACUAAUCCAGGAAGAAGUCAUUGGGUAGCUACUAAGAAAGUAAUGAGGUGCUUGAAGAAGACAAGAGAUUAUAUAUUAGUGGACAAAAACGUUGACGACCUUGAGGUAAUUGGUUACAUAGACUCAGACUUUGCUAGGUGUCCUGAUGAUUUGAGGUCCACAUCUGGCUUUAUCUUUAUGUUUCCAGGGGGUGCGAUAUCUUGGAAGAGUGUGAAGUGAACUCUUAUAGCAUCUUCCACUAUGCAAGCAGAAUUCGUAGCUUGUUAUGGUGCAGCUACACAAGCCAUUUGGUUUAAGAAUUUUAUUUCAGGGCUUGUGGUAGUUGAUUCCAUCUCUAGCCCCUUGAAGAUUUAUCGUGACAAUAAGGCAGCUGUGUUUUACUCAAAAAAUAAUAAAUCUUCUUCAGUUUCUAAGCAUAUGAAAAUAAAAUCUCUGACUGUGAGAGAUAUGGUUAAAAGGGAGGACAUUGUGAUUGAACAUACACCUACCGAUUUGAUGUUUGUUGCUCCACUAAUCAAGGUGCUAAGACCUAUAGUUUUUACACAACAUAUUCAUAAUAUGGGUGUUGUUGAGUCAUUUGAUUUGUUGGGUUAGUGGGAGUAUUUAAUAUUGUUAUUCAUUUGUCAUUAGACUAUUCACCUUAUUGUUUCAUAUUUAUGGUGAUAUUAUCUCUUGAAUUUACAUUUAUGCUAUAGUAGAUUUUGCUAUCAUUUAUGUUGUUGAUUAUUAUUGUGUACACUUUAAUAUUGUUUUAUUAUAUUAAGGCUUUUUGCCUUACGUGUUAGCUAUAUCUCAUAUUGAUAAGAUGAUAUUGUUGUUUUAUUGAAUUUUUCUUUUGGAGACAUACGAUAUAUCAUUCUACCUAGUGAAUUUUUUGGUUGUUGCACCAUGUAAUAUGUUGCACAUGUUGAACCUUGAAAAUCAAGAUUUUCUGCUGGAGCACAUGUUGUUUUAGUGCUCACACAUGUUGUAACAAAAUCGCGGUGAUGAUUUUUCUAUGGUACGCAUGUUGAUUUUAAACGUACAUGUUAAUAUGAAAAAUCGUUUGAAGGACUAACAAUGAAAUAGCCUCGAUUUGGAGUCCAUGUUUGCUAUUUUUUGCUACACUACCACAUUAUUUGGUUUAUGUCUACAAAACUUCAGUGUUAGUAAUCGUGGACUGAUUUUGUAUCGUUGGUUGAUGCACGUACUGUUGCAGUUCAACAGUGAUGUUUUCCUUGACUGAACUAUGUUGGAGAUGGCGUUCCACCACUAAAUAUUUAUGGCCACUGUCUACUCAGUUUGAGAGUCAUUUUCAUAAAAAUAUUUUUUUCAAAACUUUUCUUUAAAAGUUAACGUUGUCAAGUGAAAGAAUGUUAGAAUUAUUUAUUUUAUAUGGACUUAACGUUAACUUUUUAUUACAUUAAAGUAAAACGAGAUGAUGAUAUUAAUUGGUGGACAAGACACAGGUCGUGUAUUCAUGUGGAUUCCAUAUCGGCCUGUAUCCAUUUCAUAUUAUUGGUAUGGGCUGACAAUAAUGUAGGCCUGUAGUAGACCUGUGAGCCCAUAAUGAGGGUGCACUAGGUUAAGGCUUUUAAGCCUAUAAAUAUAAGGCUAGGUCCCCUCUCCUGAUUUUAACAUAAGACGUAUUCCCAUAACUUAAGUUGCUACUAUCAUAAGCAAAGGAGAGGAAGACUCCGCCUAGUUCGUCUUCCAUUACAUGUAAGCAAUGACGAACAAAGGUACACACCUUUCCUCUCUCAUAUUCCGUUAUUUUGUGUUCUUGAUUUAUGUGAAUCUGUGAUGUGUUUCUCUAUUAAUUUCAACAUAAAAUGCUUCUCCAUAUUUUUUUUUUUUUAAGUGGCUAAAUUCCCUUUUUGUAAUUACUUGGAUCAUGUGUUAUCGAUUCAUUGAUUAUUUUUACUAAAGUUCAUUAUUUAAAAAUUAUUUUGGCACAAAUGACAAAUGACAUCAUUUUAUUCAAUGUUUUACACAUCAUUCGCGAGUGUGACUCACACAUGUGAUAUAUUUUGUAUUGAUUAUGUAAAAAGUGCCAAAAUUAAGUAGUAAAACAACAGUUAAGAUGUUUAAAAUGAACCAUAUAUAGUUGAAGUGCACAAAUAAAAAUUGAUGAUGACUUCAAGGAGGUGGGGAUGUGUUUGGCCACAAUAGGAACUUUCUAUCUCUCUUAAGUUAUAUAUUUCCAUUGUCACUUCAAUUGAAUCCAAUAUUUCUAGGCUCAAAUGAAAUAUUGAUUCUAUUUUGUUGACAAUGUUCUGAAAACAUUCAGAAUAUUAUACUCACUCGGUGUUUAUAUCAAAAUAAAUAAUUUAACUUCAGAAAUUAAAAAAUGAAAUGACAAUACAUAUUUUUCAGUAAGAAAUUUUUUGAUUGCAAUCACAAGAAAACAAAUGAAAACAACAAAAGCUUAGUUUAUGAGCAACAAUGAAUGUCAAUUUGUCUUUAUUUUUUUUAGAACUUAUUUCUCAUCACAACUUAUCUCUGCCUUCUUGUGAGGGGCAAGGCCUGCUGUUUAAAUUGUCUUGUUCUUAGAUAUUUCUUUAAGGCAUCUGAUACUGACAAUUUUUGUCUUGGUUUGAGACAACAUAAAAAAUAUCUAUGCACUUUGUCAUUUUCUUUAUUUUGAUGUUUCACCUACCUCAUAGAUCUAAAGGAGAUGUUCAAAAACAAGAACAAUGAGCUAAGUGGACUCAGGGGGCAGACCUAUGUGUAAUUUUGUAGUGUCCCAGCAUCCGUUGAACACGACGUAAACAAGAUAUAAUUAUAUAAGAAAUGUAAUAAAGAUUGAUAUAAGAUUUAAAAAAUGAAGGUUGAGUGCUUGGUUUCCAGGCGGAAUCCUAAAACCUUGGGCAUCAAUAUGCGUGUUUGAACCACCCGGACACCCACGACCCCUAGAUCCUGAAUCUACCGUUGAUGUGGUUUCAUGAUACCUAACUCAUCAAUGUAUGAAAAUCGAUGGGCUUUACAUUUUCUUUAACUAAUCAGUAUAUAAGGACCUAAAAAUAGUUGAGUCAUAUAAGCAUUUCACAUUACAUUCUUCUACACUUUUUCUACCCCUUUCAUAAUAGUACCAAGCCAAAAGGUACCUACAAAGAUGGAAGUUAAGAACAAGUAUGUAGCAAUAAAAGCCAACAUCAAUGGUGCACCAGAAGAGUCAGACUUCGAGAUAAAAGUCAAAAACCUCUCACAUAUAGUUGAGCCAGAGUCUAAGGAGGUUGUCAUCAAGAACCUGUUAGUAUCGAUUGAUCCUUAUCAGAUAAACCGGAUGAAGAGCCAAAGUUCAUCACAAACAUCGAUAAGUUAUGCAACUGCCAUUACUCCUGGCGAGGUCAUUGACACUUAUGGUGUAGGAAGAGUGUUGGUUUCUCAUCGGCCCGACUUCAAGAAAGGUGACUUGGUAUCUGGGCUGCUUACCUGGGGAGAGUACACUGUUGUAAAGGAAGGUUCCCUGUUGAAUAAGUUGGACCCUUCUCUGGCAUUUCCUUUGUCUUACCAUGUCGGAGUUUUUGGAUUCAGUGGACUUGCUGCCUAUGGUGGAUUCUUCGAAGUGUGUAAACCGAAGCCAGGGGAGAAAGUUUUCGUGUCUGCUGCUUCUGGUUCAAUAGGACAUUUAGUAGGACAGUAUGCUAAAUUACUAGGAUGUUAUGUUGUUGGCUCUGCUGGUAGCCAAGAAAAGGUAAAUUUUCUUAAGGAGACACUUGGAUUCGACGAUGCAUUCAAUUAUAAACAAGAAACUGACCUCAAAUCGGCUCUCAAAAGGUGUUUCACUCAAGGGAUCGAUGUCUACUUUGACAAUGUGGGAGGCAAGAUGCUAGAAGCAGCAGUGGCAAACAUGAAUUCAUUCGGCAGAGUAGCCAUCUGUGGGGUUAUUUCUGAGUACACGAAUGCUAGCACACGAGCUGCCCCAGAUAUGAAGGAUAUAGUCUACAAGAGGAUUAGAAUCCAAGGAUUCCUAGCAGCUGAUUUCAUGCCAGUGUAUGCAGAUUUCCUGUCGAAAACAGUUGAGUACCUCCAAGAUGGAAAACUUAAGACCAUCGAAGAUAUCUCACAAGGCGUUGAAAGCAUCCCCUCUGCUUUUAUUGGACUGUUCAAUGGUGAUAAUAUAGGCAAAAAGAUUGUCAAAGUUGCAGAUGAGCGAUAAAAAGAACAAGAAGAUUCAAGACUGUUGACCUAUUUGUUCAUGAAUUCACGAACAAUAUCUUAUCUGUACUUCUUUCAAGUUGUAAUCCAUUUAAACGUUCAUCUUCUGCAUCAAGUUAACGAACAAGUUUAUGUAUUAUGCCUAUCAGAUUCUUGUUUACUUUUCCUUUUCAUGUACCCUAGAUUGAAACAAACUCUGUGACCCUAUCGUCUACCAACUAUGUCUCAAUCCCAAAUUUAGUUGACUACAUGAAUCUUUUACAUCAACUCAACAAAGUGGAAAAAUACAUCUUUAGCAACUACUUCAAGACCACCAUAAGAUAAAGCAAUAUCCGGGUCCUCAUCAACAUACAGACCAACUAUUAUGCCAAAACGAAUCCCGGUACUGAAAUAGCAGCAAAGUAAAGUGACAAUGGAUGUACAUAAGUUAGUUUCAAUAGAAUGACACGAUAGAAAACACUAAUGUACUAGUAUCACAGUAGAAACAAAAUUUGAGAGGAAUGGAUCAGGAAGGGGAUGAAUGUAAUACCAAGUGUUACAUUAACAGCAUUAAUAUUGAACCUGCAGUCUUCCUUCCAUUCAAACAGACUGUCAACAGCCUCUGCCAAUGCAGAACGAACAACUAGCUUCUUGUGUUUUCAAGAAAUUAUGGACCUACAGGAAGACACACACAUAUUAGUGAAUGCUUCAGCGUAAAGCUAUUCAUCAUUGAGCGGGAGCGGUUAAAAGACAGCAUAAAGAUGCAUAACCGCAGUUCCUCUGGAGAGCAAAGAACGUGCCAAAACUUGCACUCAUCAACUAGCAGCACUUUUUCUUUCUGAACUAGUUGCAAUAUCAAGGAAAAAGAAUUCCAUGAUGUGGAACAAUUAUCAUCAUAAGUAUCAUAUGACAGAUCAACAUCUUGUUCAGAUCAAUCUACAUACAACACAUAUUCAAGGAAGGAGAAGCUUGUUCACCGUUUUGUUACGAUGAACUUGAAUUUUAAGCUACCAACAAUGUGCGAUAAAAUUUAGCAGAAGUAGGUGAGUCUCGCUCUAUACAUGCACAUUGUAACAACAUAAGUACAUCAGAAAUGAACUGUAAAAACAGGGAAAGUUCGCGUUUCUUCAUUGCACUCCAUGUAUAGUUAGCAGGGAUGGAUAGUUGCUUGGUUGUUCCUAACACAGCGUUUUCACUUCCUCAAAGUUCAAUAAUAUAGAACAUUUAACAGAAAACCUCAUUGACAUCUCAUACAACAAGAAAAAGCAGUGUCGAUCUAGAAAGCAUCAGAUGAACAGCUAGCUCCGGCACAGUAAACAUUAACAUGUACUAAACACAAGUUGCUGUCCUUGUUUGAGCAAAAAAAAUAAAUAAAACAAGCUCAUUUCCCUUCAUUUGAAUAUGUUGUAGGUUCUUAAAUUCAUGCUGUAAGCAGUGAACAUGAACAUUGCAUGAAAGUUAACAAUUGUCCCCCGUAUAGUUUCCACAAAAUGUACAAUUAGAGAUAUCUUGGCUACGUUUCAUUUCCAUUUUCACCCAUAUUUCCUCAAUUUAGUGCCACACAGGAUGAAAAUCAACAAAUUGAAACACAACAAAAAGUAAAUCCAAAUGUGUCAAAUUCUUGAAAUAAAAUCCCUACAGGAUUUUCCUUGUUAAUACACGUGCGGCUACAUUGACUUCAGUCAGAUUGCACAAAAUCAUUCUAAUACAUUGACAUCAAACAAAAUAGACUUUCUGUCAACGCUAUCAGUUUCUUACUUGGUGAUAUUUUAUAUGUGUUGAUUAUUGCCUCAGUUACUGCAGUAAAAGUAGGAGCAAUUGUUGGACAUUAUCCAGUUUUUUUAGCCAUGCUCUCUUUAACUUAGUUUAGUGGCUGAUUUUUAGAUGUUAGUGGUGCAGUUGUUUUGGAUAUUGCUGAUCAUGGAAUCAUGUACAAAGUAGUGGCUUAAUUAUAGGCUUUAGUUAUUGCAUUUUUUUAGUAUUUAAGCACCACUUCAAAUUUAAUGAAAAAUCAACCUUUGUGCAGUAAAUUAAUUUGUUGUCUUCUUUCUUUCUUUGUUUUCACUUCAAAGAGUUGAAGUUAACCUUACAACUCCAACAAAUUGGUAUCAAAGCUCUCUUCUUGAGGGACCUGCAUUUGAGGGAAAUAUAUCUUUCUCUUCUUAUUUUUUUCUCCUAUGGAUUCAGAGACUCCUUUCACUGUACUAGCACCACCUGUCUUCAAAAGUGAAGGCUAUCAUGUCUGGGAAGCAAGAAUGGAGGCACAUAUGGAGACAAACGAUUUGUGAGAAGCUGUUGAGGAGGACUACGAAGUUCCUCCCUUGCCUGAAAAUCCAAUCAUGGCGCAGAUGAGGAAUUACAAGGAAAAGAAAACAAGAAAAUCAAAGGCUAGAGCAACGUUAUUCGCUGCAGUCUUAUCUGAAAUCUUUGUCAGGAUUAUGACAUUGAAACCAGCUUUUGAGGUCUGGAAUUUCCUAAAUAAAAAAUAUGAAGGAGAUGAACGGAUCAAAAGUAUGCGUACUCUUAAUCUGAUCUGAGAAUUUGAACUUCAGAAGAUGAAGUAUUCAGAGACAAUCAAAGAGUAUUCUAAUAUGAUUACUUAACAUUGCCAACAAUGUAAGAUUACUCGGCUCUGCAUUUUCUGAUUCUAGAUUGUUUCAAAAAAUUCUAGUAACAGUCCCUGAAUGGUUUGAAACAACUAUUUUCGCACUAGUAAAUUCUAAGGAUUUGUCACAGAUUAGUUUGGCAGAACUACUGAAAGCUUCGCAGGCAUAAGAAUAUAGAAGACUUAUGAGGUCUGAAGGAUCUGUUGAGGGUGCACUACCUGCAAAAGUUCAAUCAAACCAGGGAGACCAAGGAAAGAAGAAGUGGAACAACAAGGAAAACUCAAGUUCUCAUUCUCCUGGGAUCCAUAGGGGAGCGAAACAUGAUUUCCCUCUUUGCAAGCAUUGUGAAAAGAAGGGUCAUCCACCGUUCAAAUGCUGGAGAAGGCCAGACCAACAGUGUGACAAAUGUCAGCAGAUGGGACAUCAUUAGAAGGUUUGCAAAAACAACACUCAACAAACUAAUGCUGCACAGGUAGCUAAUCAGGAAGAUGAAGAGCAACUCUUUGUAGUGACAUGUUUGGCAACUAGCUGCUCUAGUGACAAGUGGCUUACCGACAGUGGUUGCACAAACCACAUGACAUUUGAUCGUGAUCUCUUCAAGGAGUUGGAUACUUUAGUAAUUUCCAAAGUACAAGUUGGUAAUGGAGACUAUUUCUGCCGAAGGCAAAGGUACUGUGGAAAUGAAAUGCUCCUCAAAUACAAAACUAAUCAAAGAUGUGUUUUUUGUACCUAAAAUUAGUCAUAGUCUGUUAAGUGUUGGCCAGAUGCUUGAGAAUGGUUUCAAACUUCUCUUUGAAUCCAAUUACUGUCAAAUUAAGGAUGAAGAUGGCAAAAACUUAUUCAAGGUAAUGAUGAAGGGAAGGAGCUUUAUAUUGGAUCUUUUAGAUCAUGAGCAAAAAGCUCAUUCUGCAACUAAGAUCAAUGCACAAUUUUCGCACAAAAGACUCGGACAUUUCAAACAUGCUGCUGUAAUUAACUCACAAAAGAAAGAUCUGGUUCGAGGGUUGCCUAAUGUUGAAGCCGAAAUACCAGAUUGCAGAACUUGUCAAUUUGGCAAGCAAGCAAGACUUCCUUUCAAGAAAGCAAUCUGGAGAGCUACUGAAAAGCUAAAAUUAAUCCACACUGAUCUGACUGAUCCUCACCGAACUCCGUCACUCAAAGGGAGCGCUUUCCCCCGAAUGGGGCCCUACGCUAGGGGUGGGCAUAUUUUGGUUUAAACCAAAAAAAACGAAAAACCAAACCGAAAUUUAAUUUUGGUUUCGGUUUUUUGGAUCGGAUUUGGUUUGUAAUUUUAGAAUUUCGAUUUUUCGAUUCGAUUUUUGGUUUUAAAAAAAAAAUCGGUUUAAACCGAAAAACUGAAAUUUUAUAAAAAAAUAAAUAAUAUAUAUAUAUUUUAUUAUAUAUAUAUAAUAUUUAGUAAUUCACAUUCACAAUUAACAUUUAACAGCAAAUUCGCAUACGCCGUAGGCUGUUUAUGGAUUGUUUUAGUGACUCAAAUAUUUUAUGGACUAUUUUGGUGACUUUAGACUGUUUUAUGGACUAUUUAUGCAGAAAAUAUGUUGUUUCAUGGACUAUUUUUACGAGUUUUGUGUUGUUUUGUAGACUAUUUAUGCAAGGUUAUAUUAUAUGUAAUGAUUGAUGACGUUAUGUAUUAUCUUAAGCUUAUGAUUAUUUCAUUCCGUUUCAUCCAUUUUGAGUUAUUUAUAAUUAUUUAUAUUUAGGAAUGAAAAACAGGUUUGAAAAAAAUAAUUUUUCUAAAAAAAUUCAUCAAUUUUAAAUGCUCAGUUAUGAAAAAGAGAGGCUAACUACUUUAAUAUUUCAAACCGAAAUAAAAAUCCGAAAUAACCGAACCGAAUUUGUAAAAACCAAACCAAAUCGAAUUUAUUACGGUUUGGUUAUGGAUGUCAUUUUUGUCACUCCGAAAAUCGAUAAACCGAACCGAUAUUAAACAAUCAGACCGAACCGAUCGAACGCCCACCCCUACCCUACGCAGGGCGAAUCCAAAUUAGUCGGACUCCAAUGCGGGUACCGGAAACCGGAUGGGGAAAAAAUACUGCAAGACGGAUCUUUAACUGGCAGAUAUGUUUACCAAAGCCUUGCCAAAGAGCAAAUUUAAAUUUCUCAGAGAAAGACUUAGAAUUUGCAGCAACUGAAGCAAGGAGGAGUGUUGAUUAUUGCCUCAGUUACUACAAUAACAGUAGGAGCAAUUGUUGGACAUUAUCCAGCUUUAUGAGCCAUGUUCUCUUAACUUGUUUAGUGGCUGAUUUUUAGAUGUUAGUGGUGUAGUUGUUUUGGAUAUUGCUAAUAAUGGAAUCAUGUACAAAGUAGUGGCUUAAUUAUAGGCUUUAGUUAUUGCAUUUUUUUAGUAUUUAAGCACCACUUCACAUUAAUGAAAAAUCAACCUUUGCGCGGUAAAUUAAUUUGUUCUCUUCUUUCUUUCUUUCUUUGUUUUCACUUCAACGAGUUGAAGUUAACCUUACAACAAUAAUAUGGACGGUGAAUAAUACUGAGAGUCAGACAAGUACGAUUAACAACAACAAUAAAUAGAAAGAAAGUUUAACAUUAUAUGAAUGUAACCUGUAGUGUGUGUGUGUGUGUAUAUAUAUAUAUAUAUAUAUAUAUAUAUACAAAGGUUACUGAAUUACGUUAACCCGUAAGUGGGCUACAAGAUAAUCUGUUUAAAUUGUCUUGUUCUUAGCCAUUUCUAUACACAUUGAUGCUUACGACAGUGACAACCUUGCUGCUAAUGACAAUAUUGUCUUGGUUGAGACAGCAUAAAACAUAUCUAUGCAUCUGUAAUUUUCAUUAUUUUGAUGUUUCACCUACCUCAUAAAUCUAGAGGAAAUGUUCAAAAACAAGAACAGUGAGCUAAGUGGUCUAAGGGGCUGCAAUUUUGCAGUGCCCCAGCAUCCAUUAAUACGAUGCAAACUGGGUAUAAUAAUAUAAGAAAUGUAUAAAAAUUGGUAUAGGAUUUAAAAGAGAAUGCUGGAAACCAAGAUGAUAGUUGAGUGAUUUGGUUUAUUGGCGGAACCUUAAGGCCUUGGGCAUCAAUAUGUGUGUUUGAACCCGACACUCACGAUCACUAAAUCCUGAAUCUGCCACUGAUGUGGUCUCAUGAUACCUAACUAAUCACUAUAUGAAACAUCUAUGGCCUUUACAUUUUCUUUAAUUUGAUGUUGCAGCCUGCCACAUUAAUCUAAUGGACCUUUUCUAAUUAAAAACAGUGAGCUAACUGGUCCAAUAAUGCCUAACUAAUCAGUACAUAAGGACCUAAAGAUAGUUGAGCCAUAUAAGCAUUUCACAUUACAUUCUUCUGCACUUUUUUCUUCCCCUUUCAUAAUAGUACCAAGCCAAAAGGUACCUACAAAGAUGGAAGUUAAGAACAAGUAUGUAGCAAUAAAAGCCAACAUAAAUGGUGCACCAGAAGAGUCAGACUUCGAGAUAAAAGUCGAAAACCUCUCACUUAUGGUUGAGCCAGAGUCUAAGGUGGUGGUUGUCAAGAACCUGUUUGUAUCGAUUUAGCCGUAUCAGAUAAACUGAAUGAAGAGCCAAAGUUCAUCACAAACAUCGAAGUUGUGCAACUACCAUUACUCCUGGAGAGGUCAUUGACACUUAUGGUGUAGGAAGAGUGUUGGUUUCUCAUCGGCCCGACUUCAAGAAAGAUGAUUUGGUAGCAGGCUUUCUUACCUGGGGAGAGUACACUAUAGUAAAGGAAGGUUCCCUGUUGAAUAAGUUGGAUCCUAGACUGGAGUUUCCUUUGUCUUACCAUGUCGGAGUUUUUGGAUUCAGUGGACUUGCUGCCUAUGGUGGAUUCUUCGAAGUGUGUAAGCCGAAGCCAGGGGAAAAAGUUUUCGUGUCUGCUGCUUCUAGUUCAAUAGGAC